CCUACGGGGGGCUGCAGUGGGGAAUAUUGGACAAUGGGGGCAACCCUGAUCCAGCCAUGCCGCGUGAGUGAUGAAGGCCCUAGGGUUGUAAAGCUCUUUUGUGCGGGAAGAUAAUGACGGUACCGCAAGAAUAAGCCCCGGCUAACUUCGUGCCAGCAGCCGCGGUAAUACGAAGGGGGCUAGCGUUGCUCGGAAUCACUGGGCGUAAAGGGUGCGUAGGCGGGUCUUUAAGUCAGGGGUGAAAUCCUGGAGCUCAACUCCAGAACUGCCUUUGAUACUGAAGAUCUUGAGUUCGGGAGAGGUGAGUGGAACUGCGAGUGUAGAGGUGAAAUUCGUAGAUAUUCGCAAGAACACCAGUGGCGAAGGCGGCUCACUGGCCCGAUACUGACGCUGAGGCACGAAAGCGUGGGGAGCAAACAGGAUUAGAUACCCCAGUAGUCG
rnacentral:rRNA from 1 species